GAUGAACGCUGGCGGCGUGCCUAAUACAUGCAAGUCGAGCGAAUGGAUUAAGAGCUUGCUCUUAUGAAGUUAGCGGCGGACGGGUGAGUAACACGUGGGUAACCUGCCCAUAAGACUAGGAUAACUCCGGGAAACCGGGGCUAAUACCGGAUAACAUUUUGAACCGCAUGGUUCGAAAUUGAAAGGCGGCUUCGGCUGUCGCUUAUGGAUGGACCCGCGUCGCAUUAGCUAGUUGGUGAGGUAACGGCUCACCAAGGCAACGAUGCGUAGCCGACCUGGGAGGGUGAUCGGCCACACUGGAACUGAGACACGGCCCAGACUCCUACGGGAGGCAGCAGUAGGGAAUCUUCCGCAAUGGACGAAAGUCUGACGGAGCAACGCCGCGUGAGUGAUGAAGGCUUUCGGGUCGUAAAACUCUGUUGUUAGGGAAGAACAAGUGCUAGUUGAAUAAGCUGGCACCUUGACGGUACCUAACCAGAAAGCCACUGCUAACUACGUGCCAGCCGCCGCGGUAA
rnacentral:rRNA from 1 species